rnacentral:rRNA from 1 species
GCGACCCCAGGUCCGGCGGGACUACCCGCUGAGUUUAAGCAUAUCAAUAAGCGGAGGAAA